rnacentral:rRNA from 1 species
GAUGAACGCUGGCGGCGUGCUUAACACAUGCAAGUCGAACGGAAAGGCCCAAGCUUGCUUGGGUACUCGAGUGGCGAACGGGUGAGUAACACGUGGGUGAUCUGCCCUGCACUUCGGGAUAAGCCUGGGAAACUGGGUCUAAUACCGGAUAGGACCACAUUUUGGAUGGUGUGGUGGAAAGUUUUUCGGUGUGGGAUGAGCUCGCGGCCUAUCAGCUUGUUGGUGGGGUAAUGGCCUACCAAGGCGUCGACGGGUAGCCGGCCUGAGAGGGUGUACGGCCACAUUGGGACUGAGAUACGGCCCAGACUCCUACGGGAGGCAGCGGUGGGGAAUAUUGCACAAUGGGCGCAAGCCUGAUGCAGCGACGCCGCGUGGGGGAUGACAGCCUUCGGGUUGUAAACUCCUUUCGCUAGGGACGAAGCGUUAUGUGACGGUACCUGGAGAAGAAGCACCGGCUAACUACGU